UACGUAGGGGGGCGAGCGUUGUCCGGAGUUACUGGGCGUAAAGGGCAUGCAGGCGGUCGGACGCGUUUCGGGUGACAGCGGGUGGCUUAACUACCCGAGUGGUCGAAAGACGGUUUGACUUGAGGACGCGAGAGGGACACGGAAUUCCGGGUGGAGUGGUGAAAUGCGUAGAGAUCCGGAGGAACACCGAAGGCGAAGGCAGUGUCCUGGCGCGUAACUGACGCUGAGGUGCGAAAGCCAGGGGAGCGAACGGG
rnacentral:rRNA from 1 species